GUUUGAUCCUGGCUCAGGACGAACGCUGGCGGCGUGCUUAACACAUGCAAGUCGAGCGGUAAGGCCCUUCGGGGUACACGAGCGGCGAACGGGUGAGUAACACGUGAGUAAUCUGCCCUUCACUUCGGGAUAAGCCUCGGAAACGGGGUCUAAUACCGGAUAUGACCACUUCACGCAUGUGAUGGUGGUGGAAAGUUUUUCGGUGGGGGAUGUGCUCGCGGCCUAUCAGCUUGUUGGUGGGGUAAUGGCCUACCAAGGCUUCGACGGGUAGCCGGCCUGAGAGGGUGACCGGCCACACUGGGACUGAGACACGGCCCAGACUCCUACGGGAGGCAGCAGUGGGGAAUAUUGGACAAUGGGCGGAAGCCUGAUCCAGCAACGCCGCGUGAGGGAUGACGGCCUUCGGGUUGUAAACCUCUUUCAGUAGGGACGAAGCGCAAGUGACGGUACCUACAGAAGAAGCACCGGCCAACUACGUGCCAGCAGCCGCGGUAAUACGUAGGGUGCGAGCGUUGUCCGGAAUUAUUGGGCGUAAAGGGCUCGUAGGCGGUUUGUCGCGUCGGGAGUGAAAACACUGGGCUUAACUCAGUGCUUGCUUCCGAUACGGGCAGACUAGAGGUAUUCAGGGGAGAACGGAAUUCCUGGUGUAGCGGUGAAAUGCGCAGAUAUCAGGAGGAACACCGGUGGCGAAGGCGGUUCUCUGGGAAUUACCUGACGCUGAGGAGCGAAAGUGUGGGGAGCGAACAGGAUUAGAUACCCUGGUAGUCCACACCGUAAA
rnacentral:rRNA from 1 species